rnacentral:rRNA from 1 species
CCUACGGGAGGCUGCAGUGGGGAAUAUUGGGCAAUGGACGCAAGUCUGACCCAGCAACGCCGCGUGAAGGAAGAAGGCUCUCGGGUUGUAAACGUUCUUUAAGGGGGAAGAGCAGAAGACGGUACCCCUUGAAUAAGCUACGGCUAACUACGUGCCAGCAGCCGCGGAAAUACGUAGGUGGCAAUUGUUGUCCGGAUUUACGGGGUGUAAAGGGCGUGUAGCCGGGAGGUCAAGUCAGAUGUGAAAUCCCCCGGCUCAACCGCGGAACUGCAUUUGAAACUGUUUUUCUUGAGUGUCGGAGAGGUAAUCGGAAUUCCUAGUGUAGCGGUGAAAUGCGUAGAUAUUAGGAAGAACACCAGUGGCGAAGGCGGAUUACUGGACGACAACUGACGGUGAGGCGCGAAAGCGUGGGUAGUGAACAGGAUUAGAUACCCUUGUAGUC